UACGUAGGGGGCGAGCGUUGUCCGGAGUACUGGGCGUAAAGCGCACGCAGGCGGUUUCGUACGUCUGGAGUGACAGUUCCCGGCUCAACUGGGAAAGGUCUUCGGAAACGGCGAGACUUGAGGGCUUCAGAGGGACACGGAAUUCCGGGUGGAGUGGUGAAAUGCGUAGAGAUCCGGAGGAACACCAAUGGCGAAGGCAGUGUCCUGGGAAGCAUCUGACGCUCAGGUGCGAAAGGCUAGGGGAGCGAACAGG
rnacentral:rRNA from 1 species